rnacentral:antisense_RNA from 1 species
AGUCAUGAUCUCUAUUCCUUGAAAAUAGGAUUGUGAUUAGCGAUUCAGGGGUGCUCCAACACCUCUGCAUCGCGCU